rnacentral:rRNA from 1 species
GCCAGCAGCCAUACCACCCUGCUACCCACACCUGGCAGCCCACUGAAGCUCAGCAGGUGUGAGCCUGGUCAGUACCUGGAUAGGAGACCUCCUGGGAAAAACUAAGGUUGCUGCUGGAA